GAGAGGAGAAAGUCAGGCGCCAGAGGUAGAUGAGAGCCAGGAUUUGACCCAGUGAUUUAGGAUUCCAAGUCCAAGGCUCAAAGUGUGACUUGACAGCUGCAAUCUGGGAUCUGGAUGUGUGCCUUCUGUGGCUCGGUGACUCCAGAAUUUUUCCAACAUCUGGUUGUACGGAAUAACAAUAGUAGCACGAAUGAUCCCAUAGCUGACAGCCACGGGAGCCAUGUGCCAGGCCUGGUUCUAAGCACAUGUCAUAUUUGAACUCACAGAGUCCUCCUAGCUCACUGUGAAGUGGAUACUAUCGAAGGGGAGUCUUAAGGGUUUCAGUCAGUUGUCAC
rnacentral:lncRNA from 10 species